UACGGGGGGUGCGAGCGUUGUCCGGAAUCACUGGGCGUAAAGGGCGCGUAGGCGGUUUGGUAAGGCUGUGGUGAAAGCCCGGGGCUCAACCCCGGGUCUGCCGUGGCGACUGUCAGACUGGAGGGCUCGAGAGGCAGACGGAAUUCCGGGUGUAGCGGUGGAAUGCGUAGAGAUCCGGAAGAAGACCGGUGGCGAAGGCGGUCUGCUGGCGAGUACCUGACGCUGAUGCGCGACGAGCGUGGGGAGCAAACAGG
rnacentral:rRNA from 1 species